CCAACACUGGAGCCUACCCGGCUGUUUGGUGGGGCUAAUGGCGGACUCUGGGAGGGCUCAUGCCAAGGAGUACGUCCCAGAACUUCUGCUGCCAGUGUCCUUGUACUCACGGUGAGUCAGAGCCACCCCCCACCUCUGCAAGAAACCCUCCGACACUAGCAGGUUAAGAAGACGAUCUGGAAGAGCCAGGAGGACCAGGCCAACCAUUAGAGGGGACAUAAACUGAGACGGAGGCAAGCCACCUGGAGCUGUGUUUGAGCACUGCCCAGCUUUCCUGCUGGCUGCAGCAUUGAGUACAGAGAGCAGCAGUGAUUCACAGUGAGCAAAGUGCUGAACUGAGAAGUGAACGUCACCACGCAGCCCAGGUCACGCUUUACAGGAGUCACAGGGAAGAGCCUUGGGGGUUACGGUCAGCCUUUCAAGAUGACCAGUCCCUCCCCCCGGGACCCCAGGAGCUGUGCAGAGACUAUGGGGAAGCCCCGCCUAUGCCCCAGGUAACUCAGGGGACAUGGGCAGGUGGAGCCCUGACUGGGGAAGGAGAGAGAGGCCCACAGGUUAGAGAGUCAGUACCUCAGACGCUGAGAACAAAGGCCGGCCUCCCGCCCUCUUCCUCCAGCCUCCUUGAGGCUCAUCUCCUCUCCACGACUCGGCAGUCACCACGUCCCACCGAUUCCAUCACCUAGGAACCUCUGCAUCUGUUGCCCUUCGGCAUUCCACUGCCUUGCCCUAGUCUGCCUUCAUCACGUCUUGCCUGGAGCUACAUAGCCUCAGCUUGGAUGGCAGAAUAAGGAGAAACCCAGAAGCAGCAUAUACAAUGCCUGGUAGCCCCUUGGACUCCUCUCCGGCGCUUCCAUCUCCCCCUCUGCUCCCCACCCCCAUUUUACGGUCCAGCCACAGCUGAACUGAGCACCCAGCGACCUCUCCCUACAAUGCUUCCACGUCCUCCCCCAGCACAUCCCGCCCUCCCCACCCUGCCCCACGACUCACCCUCAUAGUCUCUCCUCAUCCUAAUGCAGUACGAGGUCUCCUCCAUCAGGACCAUAUCCCAAGGUGGGAGCAAGUCCACCACCUGUGGGUUGCCAUGGCAACCCCCUUUCAUGGCACGUGGCAAAUUCCAAGGUCAUUGCCUCUUUACCUGUGUGCUUUCCCCAAGAGGUGGGGAGGUCCCUGAGACCAGGGACUGUGGCUGGCGCACAGUGGGUUCUCAAGAAGGGUUUGCUAAGAGACGGAUGAAGACGUUCCUUGUGUCACUGCUGGAGCCAAGCCCAGGCGGCCCAGGUGGCUCCUGGAUAAGGAAAGAGGCCAGGCAUUUGUUGGUUCUGGGAACUCAAGCUACAGAAGAUGAGUUAUUAAGACAGGCUGGGGUUGUAGGCAGGACCUUUAUAAUGCUGCUUCCCAGACUCGCUCUGGUCCCAGCUGGUCCUGAAAAUCCCCCACCUCCACACAGGGAGCCAACUGAAAACUCACACACAUGAGCAUGCACACGCGUGUCCACACACGUGUGUCACUGCCCCUGUGCCUUAGAGGCUGCUCAGGAUUCAUUAGCCAACAGGAAGCGGAGCUGGCCCUCUGGCCCUCGCUGUAAUUGUCCUGGAUAUCAGGUGCGCGCUUUGCCGGCAGCCCCUCCGCAAGUGGGCAUUUGUCAGCUGCCGGAGGUCCCACCCGAACCUCUCAGGUCUGUGCCAGGCAGGCCCUGAUCAGAGGCAGCUAUCUCAGCUCAGAAAGCAAUCCGAGUCUUCCUUCUAACAGAUGUCUUGACACUGUAGCCGGAGCUCGUUCACGAAUAUGAUUUAUUAACUAAUUUAGCGUGUAAGAAAAACAUCUGCAUCUCGCUUUUAUCAUCUUGCCAGCAGACAGGCUGAAGACAAGAUGUGUACUGCAGACUCGAUUAAUGGAGCCUUAAGCACUCCCUGCGCUUGUCCAGAGCUCGCACAAGGCUCUGGUUUCAGAAGUUGUCUGAUUGAGCCGACCUAACACAAACAAACACGAGAGUAAACCUCUCAUCAACCAUAAAUACCGCGGGGAUCGGAAGGGCGGCCAUGAAGUCGUGCGCUGAAGCCUGCCCAGAGCAUUCUAGUCAUCAGGACCGUCUCAGAAUUUGGGUAAUAAAAAGGUGCCUCGGUUAUUUAAGACUAUCGACUGGGUCUGAUCACCUUUUAUUAUUAUACACGAUUUUAAGAUUUUCAUUCAAAGGAACGUGAACAUGUAAGGAUAAUACCUGUUUGGGGCAAAAUAUCACCACUGGAUGCUGGAGUGGAUAGAACUGUCUCCCCAAAAAGAUAUGCUCAAGCCCCCUCCCUUGUAUCUGUGACUUGAUUUGGAAAUAGGGUCUUUGCAGAUGGAUGCAAGUUAAAAUGAGGUCAUACUGGAUGAGGGUGGGCCCUACUCCAAUGACUGGUGCCCUUAUAAGAAGAGGACAUUUGUACACAAAGACACACAGACACAAGGGAGACAGAGGCGGGGAUUAGAAUGACGCAUCUAUAAGCCAAGCAAUGCCAAGGAAUGCCAGAAGCUGCCAGAAGCUACCGGAGCGAGGAGAGGGGCAUCGGAUGGAUUCCCCCUCUGAGCUUCAGGAAGGAAUCAAUCCUGUGGACACCUGGAUUUUGGACUUCUGGCCUCCAGACUAUGAGAGAAUCAAGUUCUGUUACUUUAGCCACCCAGUCUAGGGUCAUUUCUUACAGCAGCCCUGGGAAGUGGAUACAGGUGACCAAGGCAGCUUCCCUCUGAUAUUUGAGAUGACGAUAGUCCAGAACACUGAGGCCCACGGUAUGGCACGGCCGGAAGGCAGCUGGCCCAGGGGACGAGCAGGAAUGGCCCCAUGCAUGACAAGUUCCCAAAUGUCCAUGCGUCUCCAUUGUUUUCUACACAAAGUGACGGGAGCUGACCGAAAAGCAAGACUCUUAGCCACCAUUUUUUGUGUAUACGUAUGUUGAGCUCUAACGUGACACUGUUUUAUAUUUGUUGACAACACAUUUGUUUAUCUAACCAUUUGCAUCAAGCAGGAUCUUCAAAAACGUUGAGGCCAAGUGGCCCACACACCAUGGGCACCCUGGCAGCCCUCCCCAGAACAAGCCUGGACACUGAAGGCCCUGGGGGGACCCCCAGUUGUAACUGACACUUGGUGCGUCAUGGCAACCUGAGAAAUCUGUACCCGAACCCAGAUUGCUCUCUGUGGAGCCAGAAACUAAGGAGCCGCCAGAGAACACACCCAAAUAGUCUAUAUCUGCCAAUCGGCUUCCAAAGCCGAUGAGAGACACGUUUUCAAGCAGGGAAAGUCUUUGCACAUGUAUUUUGUUCAUUUCCUUUUCUUAGCAUCCUGGAAAGUGUUACUGGGGCUGAGCAGCAGGUGUACUACUAAAUCCUUCACCACGAGAAGGAUGCGUUCAAGUUGCCCUUUCUGGGGUCUUGGACGACACCCCCAGCAGAAGUGCGGGGGGCUGAGGGGGACCUAGCCUGCCCGUGGUUAACAGGAAUCCUAUUCCAACCCCUCUGUCCUCUGUCCCCCACCCCCCCGUAAGAUCUUGGUAAUAUUUGCUAAGCUGCAUUUUAUUGAAUAUGGUUAUUUCCCCAGAGGACUUUUAUUCAGAAUUAGACCCAUGAUUUCACCUCCUGGGGGCCAGAACAUUUUUCUAGGAAGAAAGAUCUUGUUCCUCUAUCCAAAGAAAUAAAACGGAGGUUUCCCCAGGCCUCCAGAUUUUAAGAUUUGAGUUGGCAGGCCAUCAGAAUAUGCUCCCAUGUCCCCAUCUGUGCCCUUGUCUCUUCUUGUUAUUCUCGCUGGUUUAAUAGUCUGUUUAUAAGCUCCACGAAGAAAGGACGGAGGCCAGCCUUGCUCACUGCACUCUCCCCAGCUCCCAGCAUGAGGCCUGGCCCAGAGAAGGGUCCUGAUAACGCCUUCUCCAGUGAGUCAGUGAGUGCUGUCCUUGCAGGGUCAGUGCGACACCGGCCUCCCGGCGCUUGGAAAGCUGGCCAUCCCUUCUCUGAGCUCACAGCAGGAAAGGGGUUUCAAGAUGAUGAAUGUUGAUAUAGACAAACUGGAGUCAACCUCUCGCCCUGAGACCUGUUCUGCAAUCUCUCAAGGGCAAAGGGCACCUCUUGCAAAUAUCUGUUAAGGAGCCAAGAAUGUGAGCCGGCUACCCUGGGCUGCUACUUUCCCAGCUAAAGUGGUAAAUUCGUGUCCCAAGUUAUUUCUGCUGACUUCAGUGCCGUAUAUAAUCUCUCAAGAUGGGCUGGCUUCCAGGGCAGGCUGUAUGACCCUGAGGUUUGGGUACCUGGGCGAACAUGAGUCCUGCAUAUGGCAGGGACACCAUUUGGACCACCAGCUUGGGUGAAGGUCCCAGCCCCAGGAUCCGGCAGUCUCGCCAGCCCUCCCGAGCCACCUGUAGCUUACCGCUAA